rnacentral:rRNA from 1 species
CCGUAGCCCAAGAGAUCGGGAUAACACCUGAAACAGAUGCUAAUACCGGAUAACAACAGAUGAUGCCUAUCAACUGUUUAAAAGAUGGUUCUGCUAUCACUCUUGGAUGGACCUGCGGUGCAUUAGCUAGUUGGUAGGGUAACGGCCUACCAAGGCGAUGAUGCAUAGCCGAGUUGAGAGACUGAUCGGCCACAUUGGGACUGAGACACGGCCCAAACUCCUACGGGAGGCAGCAGUC